AUGCUGCUUGCGGCUGCAGGGCGUCUGGUACUGCUCAACUCCGUGCUCUCGGCCUUCACGGUUUAUUGGAUGUCCCUUCACGAGCUGCCGGCGUGGGUUCGGCGCCAGAUUGACAAGAUCAGGCAUGCCUAACUUUGGAAGGGCCAGGAGUUCUGUCAUGGUGGGCACUGCAAGGUGGCAUGGGGACGCAUCUGCCGACCGCGCGAUCUCGGCGGCCUUGGCAUCCUAGACCUCCAACGCUUUGGAGUGGCAUUGAGGCUGCGAUGGCUAUGGCUGGAGCGCGUGGCCAGGGCAAGGCCAUGGAUCGGACUACCUAUCCCCUGCUCCACAUCGGAUCGACUGCUCUUCGCGGCUGCCACCACCGCUACGGUCCAUGAUGGCAAAGCUGCCAGCUUUUGGUUCGAUAGCUGGUUGCGAGGGGAGGCCCCAAUCACCAUUGCGCCGGGGAUCUUCAUGCUCUCGCGGUGUAAAAAACGGUCGGUCCAGGAUGCUCUACGGGACGGGAGGUGUGUUAAGGAUGUGCAAGGGCGCGUAACCCCUGCCCUUCCAAUGGAGUUUGUGGCCUUGUGGUCUAGAGUUGCUUCGGCCGGCCCGCUCUCUGAUGGCCACGACGAGUUCUCCUGGAACCUCACUGAAUCCCGGAAAUUCACCACGGCAUCGGCAUAUCGCCUGUAG
rnacentral:rRNA from 1 species